GGCCGGCCGGCCACGCAAUGCUGUCUCUGUUGCUGCUCCUCUCAGGGCUGGGCCGGCUGACCUCCGCGGGCCAUCGGUUGCACUCAUUAAAAAUGCUGUAAACCUGAAAGUUUUACUCUGAUUGGAAAAGCAGAGUGUGGUAUUGUACGAUGCUGUGACAAAAACACUUGUAAGCCCCGAGUGCCCAGCCACUCAGGAUGCCCAAGGAUGAGCCCGCACAGCUGAAAGCGAC